ensembl:lncRNA
GUUAGUAUUGAAUUACGCUUUUGACUGCAAGUUCCAGAAUGCCUUGCGACAGGAAUGAGAGUGAGAACGCGCAAGUUAUGUGCUGGUGCAAAGUGAUUAGGCUGACCUUUCCGCUAGCAUCUUACCUGCAUUGCUCUGUAAAAUCUAAAGUUCUUAAAUGUAACGUGAACAAGUAAUAUUACUAAAAGAAGCGUUCAUAUCCACCCCGACGUCCCGAGUCAUUACUUUGAAGACGGUUAUUCUAAAAGUAAUUGCUCUUUUGACCAAUCAGAUAUGCUCUGAAAAAGAGCUGAUGCGAAAAUAUCUAACGUGAUAAUUUUCCAUCAUUAUUCAACAGGCUAAUGGGUCUCCAGUUGUCUAUAUAAGGAGUAUCCUUAUUAAGUUUGGGAAUCAAAGUAAUCACACCUUGUUUUAAGGAAGCCGGAAACUCCCCAUUUUCUAUUGAUUCGUGAAACAUAGCAAGAAUGAAAGGAAUCAAUUUAUCAUUGAAUGCUUUAUAAAACUCGCUUAUUAAACCAUCAUUUCCAGGGGACCUAUUGUCCUUAAUGCUUUUAAUACAGUCUUUUAUCUCAAUUUCAGGUAACUCAUCAUCACAAAAAUCCCUGAAAUCAUUAUCUAUCUUAGCAAUGUUUGCAACACGUCAUGCUCUUAUCAACUGAGCUACGAAGGAGCACGUCGACGUCGCUAGAAUGAUGACAAGCAAUGUUAAGGGAUUCUAAAGGGAAUCAGAAUUCCAAACUAAUUUCUAUGGCAACACAGUUGUCAAUUUUGUAAACAAUCAUUUUCGAACGUGUGUUGCCAAGAGACAUCUAACCGACGUUCUAUGGAACGUUUUCUGUGCGAAAACAACUUUGCUGCUGACAACAAACUUGUUUGAUUUUUGAGACCUGAGAACAAUCGACUGGAAAAUGCCUGGGUGCUUUUCAAGACUGGCGGAGAGAGUGCGUGGACGUCGGCGGCCUACUGCGUCGACAGGUUGUUCAAAUUCAUUUGUGGCUUGUUUUUCUUGUCUUUUUCUGUUUUGCAGGGUUCGUGAUCGUCGACAGGUGGACAGCGACUUCGAAGAGGAAACAACUGUCCUGGAUGAGGUCCAGUUGGAUGUGCCAUUGGAUGAUGUGCUAGAUGUUCCACAGCUGCCAGUCCUCCUUGAUGUCCAGAAUGCUGCUAUCAUCCUUGAGGAUGUGCCAGAUGUGCAGACUAUCCUUGAGGAGGCCACUGGCAUUUGGCAGUUGAUUCCGAUUAGGUUCAGCCCCCAGUACUGUGGGCCUGUUGUGAUCAGGAACAAUGCCGGUCCGGUGGUUAAAGCUUGGAGAACUUUCCAGUUCAUCAGCCCCAUCAUCACCUACAUGCGUGGGGGAUCCCAGCAGGUGGUGGUGAGGAUGAACCACGUGAGUAGGGUGAGAGGCCUGGAGACUCAACUGGUGUGGGCCAUCUCCAAGGAGACAGCCAGGCUUAGUCCAGAGGGCAUCUCCUACUGUGCCACCAAAGUGCAGUCCAUCACUUGGAUCCAGGUAAGACGUAAAUACUACUGAAACAGUAGUAGGUUAGGCUUUUCUUCACUUAUUCCAUUUGGACUUAAUAUGUAUUCUCUCUUUGUCAGCGUGUGGCUGGCAGGGUGACCCACUAUGCGUCUCACCUCCGCCACGAGACGUCUG